UGAAGCAGCAACGCCGCGUGGAGGAUGAAGGUUUUAGGAUUGUAAACUCCUUUUGUUAGAGAAGAUAAUGACGGUAUCUAACGAAUAAGCACCGGCUAACUCCGUGCCAGCAGCCGCGGUAAUACGGAGGGUGCAAGCGUUACUCGGAAUCACUGGGCGUAAAGAGCGCGUAGGCGGGAUAGUCAGUCAGGUGUGAAAUCCUAUGGCUUAACCAUAGAACUGCAUUUGAAACUACUAUUCUAGAGUGUGGGAGAGGUAGGUGGAAUUCUUGGUGUAGGGGUAAAAUCCGUAGAGAUCAAGAGGAAUACUCAUUGCGAAGGCGACCUGCUGGAACAUUACUGACGCUGAUUGCGCGAAAGCGUGGGGAGCAAACAGGAUUAGAUACCCUGGUAGUCCACGCCCUAAACGAUGGAUGCUAGUUGUUGGAGGGCUUAGUUUCUCCAGUAAUGCAGCUAACGCAUUAAGCAUCCCGCCUGGGGAGUACGGUCGCAAGAUUAAAACUCAAAGGAAUAGACGGGGACCCGCACAAGCGGUGGAGCAUGUGGUUUAAUUCGAAGAUACACGAAGAACCUUACCUAGGCUUGACAUUGAGAGAAUCCGCUAGAAAUAGUGGAGUGUCUGGCUUGCUAGACCUUGAAAACAGGUGCUGCACGGCUGUCGUCAGCUCGUGUCGUGAGAUGUUGGGUUAAGUCCCGCAACGAGCGCAACCCCCUUUCUUAGUUGCUAACAGAUUAUGCUGAGAACUCUAAGGAUACUGCCUCCGUAAGGAGGAGGAAGGUGGGGACGACGUCAAGUCAUCAUGGCCCUUACGCCUAGGGCUACACACGUGCUACAAUGGGGUGCACAAAGAGAAGCAAUACUGCGAAGUGGAGCCAAUCUUCAAAACACCUCUCAGUUCGGAUUGUAGGCUGCAACUCGCCUGCAUGAAGCUGGAAUCGCUAGUAAUCGCAAAUCAGCCAUGUUGCGGUGAAUACGUUCCCGGGUCUUGUACUCACCGCCCGUCACACCAUGGGAGUUGUGUUUGCCUUAAGUCAGGAUGCUAAAUUGGCUACUGCCCACGGCACACACAGCGACUGGGGUGAAGUCGUAACAAGGUAACCGUAGGUGAACCUGCGGUUGGAUCACCUCCUUU
rnacentral:rRNA from 1 species